rnacentral:tRNA from 1 species
AAAUAAGAAGCAAUUCAUGCAUUUAAUUUCGACUUAAAAAAUAGAGUAUAUAACUCCUUAUUUG